rnacentral:rRNA from 1 species
AAUAUUGCGCAAUGGGGGAAACCCUGACGCGGCAACGCCGCGUGAGUGAAGAAGGCCUUCGGGUCGUAAAACUCUGUCAUUGGGGAAGAAAAAGAUGACGGUACCCAAUGAGGAAGCCCCGGCUAACUACGUGCCAGCCGCCGCGGUAAUACGUAGGGGGCAAGCGUUGUCCGGAAUUACUGGGCGUAAAGGGUGCGUAGGCGGCCGUUUAAGUCAGAUGUGAAAUACCACGGCUCAACUGUGGGGGUGCAUUUGAAACUGGAUGGCUUGAGUGCAGGAGAGGAAAGUGGAAUUCCUAGUGUAGCGGUGAAAUGCGUAGAGAUUAGGAGGAACACCAGUGGCGAAGGCGACUUUCUGGACUGUAACUGACGCUGAUGCACGAAAGCGUGGGGAGCGAACAGG